ensembl:lncRNA
ACACUGAAUUUUUAAAGUUACUUUAAAAAAAAUAAAUUGUUUUUCAUUUACUUGUUUGGAGGAUAUUUACCUAUUGAAUGUUCCAGAGUAAUUAGAUCAUGAGACUGGGCGACUCAAAUGGCCCAUGGAAAAGGGUUAUCUUAUAAAACAAUGGGAGGAAUAUUGUCUUUAAACACACACACACACACACACACACACACACAUAUAUAAUUUAUUUAUAUAUAUAUUUAUAUAUGCACACAUAAAUACUGUAUAUCUGGCAACCAGGCAUGUACCUCCAUCCACAAUCCUAAAUUUAAUCAUGUAACAAUGACUUUACUCUGUAUUCUUACUUUGAAUUCUAAAUAAACUACAUGAGCUCUUUUGUGCUUCAGUAUUUCCUCUUUUCCUUCAAUGUUGUUUGCUUAUGCUUGUGCAGAAAGUAAACAAGCCAUUGCAGACAUGGGAAAGCUUUCGGUCUGUUUGACAGGGGUGGAGUUUGCUGCCGCUCAUGUCCUAAACAAGGAGGGUGUGGCUCAAUUUGUCCAUGAACGCUCUGUCAUUGCUGCCCUCAACCAUCGCCUGGCUGGCCUCAUCGAUGUGGUUUGGUGUUUAGAAGAGCAGAACGAGUCUCUGGAGGCUGAGAUUAUUGAGCUGGAGGAGAAGCUGGAGUCAGAGCAUCAGCGGUCCUAUGGACUACAGUCUGGAGGCUGUGAUAGAAAGGCUGCGGAAAGAGAAGGGACCACUCAGAAACUCUGGCCUGGGUGGUGCUGCACAUUUAUGCCUCGCUUGAUAAAAUUAAAUUUAUAAGUUGUGUGUGUUAUUUUAUGCAACACAGAGGAGUUGAAGGGUGAACUGCAGCAUCUGCAGAUGAAAUACGAUCAGAUGGCUGAGCACAAGAGACUCAUCCAGCAAGAACGAGAAGAUGUUUCUGUGGAGGUGGAUGCAGUUACCACAGACUGCCUGGCCCUUUGAGAGCAAGUGGCCAUCAAUGAAGAGCAGCUGGCUGCCAUGGAGAGAGAGGAUGGAGAAAUUAUGUGAGCCCAGGACUCCGGAUGAGGGUUCUCCUACUGUAUCCCUGCAGUUCUCCUCUUUUGAUAUCACUCCAUUCAUCAUGAACAUCAAAGAGUACUACAGCACACUGGCCGAGAACCUCACGUUUGAGUCCAGAGUAUCGAGCGCUGCUGCCAUUGAUGCCGCAGGAAAGGAGGUGGAGCAGCUGUCUAAGUUGACUGGAGAGAAAAUGAAGGACAUCUCCAAAGAGACUGACGUAAAUAUCCUCAAGAACUUGAGCUGCAGAAAAAGGUGGCAGAGCUGGAGAAGCAUGGAGAUGAGUUGGAGGUCGAAAUAGAAGCCAAGAAAGCGAAAUACCUGGAGGAGAUAGAGGAGCUGGAGAAUUACCUUUGUCAGCUGGAGGAGGAGGAGGCUGAUCUUCAGUUCCAGAUGAAGGAUCAGAGUGGGGAUUAUGAAGAACUGCUGAAUCAGAAGAUGAAUCUAGUCAUCGAAAUUGCUGCUUACAGAUGAUACAUGUUAUGAAGAUCAUUAGUGGUGCUGUGUGAAGGCAAGCAUUGCUAUUAUUAUUGCUCAUACAUUAACAUGAUACACUAACAUUCAAAAGUUUGGGGUCAGUGAAAUAUUUAAAUGUUUUUUAAAAACGUCUCUCAUGGUCAUUGUCUUUUUAUUUGAUCAAUAAUACA